UGUCGUCAGCUCGUGUUGUGAAAUGUUGGGUUAAGUCCCGCAACGAGCGCAACCCUUAUCCUUUGUUGCCAGCGGUCCGGCCGGGAACUCAAAGGAGACUGCCAGUGAUAAACUGGAGGAAGGUGGGGAUGACGUCAAGUCAUCAUGGCCCUUACGACCAGGGCUACACACGUGCUACAAUGGCGCAUACAAAGAGAAGCGACCUCGCGAGAGCAAGCGGACCUCAUAAAGUGCGUCGUAGUCCGGAUUGGAGUC
rnacentral:rRNA from 1 species